UGGCUGUCUUGAUGUCUCACAGCAGGAAGAGACUCUCUCAAAUAGGUGUACACAUGGGGAGAGAGAGAGCAAGGAGACUGAGAUACAAUCAGCCACCAGCAAGUUGUCUUGAUUUUCUGAAUGGAGCGUGGUAGCAUGUUAUAGAGUCCAAGGAAUUUGCCAAAUCCGUGUGAGAAGAUUUGCCUCUCACAUGUGAGAGAAUUUUUUGAGAAAAAAAAGAUCCUGACCCCGUCCCUCUGCCACCACCCGAGUGAGGAAGACUGACAGAGCACAUUGGCUUGCUGUGGAGACAAGAUCAGGGAAAGCGCCCCUGAAAAGAAAGCAUUUUGGAAGUCCUGAAGGUGGAGAAGGAGAUUUAGAGGAAGAGUGAUAAAUCAGAAGUCUUCGUCCAAGAAUUAGCUUUGCACCAUCUACAGACCUAAGCAGCUGCAGAGAGUGGAAUGAGAAGUGGG
rnacentral:lncRNA from 1 species